rnacentral:rRNA from 1 species
UACGUAGGGUCCGAGCGUUGUCCGGAUUUAUUGGGCGUAAAGAGCUCGUAGGCGGUUUGUCGCGUCGGCCGUGAAAUCUCCACGCUUAACGUGGAGCGUGCGGUCGAUACGGGCAGACUUGAGUUCGGUAGGGGGAGACUGGAAUUCCUGGUGUAGCGGUGAAAUGCGCAGAUAUCAGGAAGAACACCCGUGGCGAAGGCGGUUCUCUGGGGACGGUACUGACGCUGAGACGCGAAAAGCGUGGGGGAGCGAACAGG